GGUCACCAGAGUUUUUCAGGCAGAGGUUUAGUAACUCCUUGAUGGGGAUACAUAAAGGAUUGAUGAGAACAGGUUGGGGAAGAUUAGCUGUAAAGAUUUCUUACAAAACCUGUUUUCUGUGUUUCUAAUAGGGAGUAGACAAAGCAUAUGUCUAACAAAACACAAUUAAAAAACCAAAACAAAACAGUAGCAACAGUGCACAGGACCAGGGUGAAUGUGUUCAUGUCUUUGCUGCCCAGAUAUCCCUGGGAGGGUUUUAUAGUAACUUAACCUGCAUGAAUAAAGAUGAGUUUCCAUUUUGAGAAGUGUACAUUCAUCAAGUGGAGCUCCGAAGUGUCAACUUAUAAUCUAAAAUGCAGUGGAUAACAUAAGUGUGUGUAAAAUAUCUUUGCCCCGUGGAAUCUUACAGAUGUAAAUUGAAACACUUAUAAUCCCUCCCAUCUUAAAACAAAACAAUAAAAACCAAAACACUCCUGCAGCCUGGUUACCCUUCAGCUAUUGCAUAAUCUCUUCUCCCCUUCGCAGUUGACUCCUUGGAGAAGCUGCGUAGAUUCCUGCCAUCUCCACUCCCUUCCUUGCACUCAUUACUCAUCCCACUGUGUUCUGGGUCCUCUCCAGGCAUCCUCUCCCUUUAUUACCUGAUGACAAUCCUCAGUCCCGAUUCUUCCUGAUUGUUCUCAAGUCUCAGAACCACCCUUCUGGUUAAGUGCUCUGUUUCCUGGAUUUUGGUUACCGUCACUCGCUCUUGGUUUCCUGCUAAUCUCUCUGGCCACUCCUUCCUAGUUUCUUGUGCUGACUCAUCUUUCUUCUCCCAUCUGCUAACGUUGACUUUCUUCCUGGUUCCGUCACUUUUGUCUUGUCUCAUGUUGCACUCUCUCCAUCUCAGAAUCUUUUGAACCUUCUUGUUCUGUCAGCCUUUAAAAGAUGGGGUUCUCAUGCUAGCAAAUGGAGCAAUCUUGUGUCCCCCACAUCAUACACCAUUUGGUGAUGACUGAACUCACUGGCUUAUGUCUCUGAGCUCCAGCUGAGAAUUGUGUAUCUUCUCCUAGAUAUCUCCAGAUAUCUUAACUCAACAAAUCCAAACGGGACUCCUUGCCUGCCUGCCAGCCCUCCCUCCCCGUGUUUCCUAUCUUGGUCUAUCAAGAAAUCUGUGAGCCCUUCGCCAUUCGCCAUUCUUCCUCUUCACCCUGCCUCUAACCAAGCAUCCAUUUCUCUCUCUUCCACAGCCUCAUUCCUCACACACCGUCCACUUUCCUCCGUCCUCACUGCCAGCGGUCUGGUCAGGACCUCUCAGUCCUUUCUCCUCCCACUUGUUUCUCUGAUGUCAUCUCUUGCUGCCACAUACUCACGCCCUACACUCCAGCCACACGGAAGUCUUUUCAGUCCCUGAACUUGCUCUUUUCUCCUGCCUCCCAGAUUGUGCACAUGCCGUCUCCUCUACCCAGAGCAGUGAAAACAACUUUUACCUUUUGUUUGGAUAAUUCAUAUUUAUUUUCAGGUAUCAGUUCAACUGUCACUUCUGUGGUAAAUCUCCCCAAUGUCCCAAUCAAGGUGUUGUUUUAUACACCCCAUGAUACCCCAUUCUUUCCCCAAUAAACAGAAUUUAAAGCAGGACCUCCCAUCGCUUAUGCCUGUUUGUGUCCCAUCUGAUUGUUGAUUUCACGAGCACAGAGACAGCUUUAUUGCUGGCACGCAGGAGCUUCUCAAUAAGCGUUUGCUGAAUGAAUAUGAAAAGAUGGAGAUGGCACAGCAUGAUUUUACAGCCGGCCGUGAGGUGGUGCACGUUACUUCAUGUGCUCAUUCAUGCAAGAACCACAGAGGCUAUCAUCUUCGGAGUUUGGGCAUAAGACUAGUCAUUAUAAGGAUGCAUUUGCCAUGGUCUUGUCAACUUGGUCUUAGAUUUGCAAGAUGUUUUGGUUCAUUAACUUUGCAUUUUAGGUUUGUUUUUGUGAAGCAGAUAAUGAGACUUCAUGAUGGUGUGUUCACUGAUAAAUUGUUAAAAAGUAAUUACAGCCCAGAAACUUUACUUUACUUUCUAAAACCAUUCAUCAAUCGAAUUUUAUUUAUUUAUUUAUUUACUUUGCAGCUUUAAGUUUUGACGAAAGCGUAUUUUGCAGGUGUUAAAAAUCAUAAAAAUGUGGUACUAACAUAAGACAGGCGGACAAUUUUGGUAGAUUGGUCAAUGGACAGUUUCCUCGUUAAAGAGGCUGCCGUAUUUCGCCGUUCACCUGUGGAACACCGGCGAGAGGCAGUCUUCAGUAGCGGGACUUUCCAGUCCAGAAUGGUUUUAGUCGACAAAGAAAACUGAGAUAUGACUUACGUGUCGCAGACAGUAGCCGUGUUAAAGAGCUCCUUUGUAUAUGUAAUAAAAUAGAAGACAUUUCAAGCACUCCGAGAGCUCCACAUCUAAGACAGCAGCCGCGUAAGACCAGCUUCAACUUCCCCUAUUGUAAUGGAGCAGAAAUGUACGGGACAUGAUUUUCUUUGAAAUAUUGGAUCAUUUUCCUUUGAUUCCAUGAUUUUCCAGCCACCCCCACUCUCCUGUGCCACUUUGAUGCAAUGUCACUUCUGUGUCCUAGUGCUUCCCAGCCGGCUUGGAGUGAGGGCUGCGCUUCAUGUGCAAGUGAGCUCUCCAAGGAGACGGUUUCAAAGCCAUGCUUUCUCCGUAACGGGGAAGAUAAGAUUCUGGAAUCCGCUGACCAGACCGGGAAAUAAGGAUAAACAGGGUUUCCAAUCAGUUUUCAGACCUAAACAUUUUUGAAAAGGACAAACAUCUGAAGUUAAUAAUGUGGGCUAUGGAGCGAUGGGGGAAAUUUAUAAAUAUAUAAACCCAUAGGAUAAAGGCGUACAUUUCCUUUGUUCUGCAUUCCAAAGGGCUUUCUCAUGCAAAACCUGAGGCCAGUCAAGAAAACUAGGCCAAGAAAAGCUUGUGCUAAAACUCUUAUUAGGCUAUCUUCCAAAAAACUUCAAUUUAUUGCCUCUUCUUAUCUUUUGCUGACAUAAAGACUGUAGUCUCUCAAUCGCUCCGAAAAAAUGUGUGCUUGAAAAAAUAUCUCUCGGCACACUUUAGGUGGCAAAGUUCAC
rnacentral:lncRNA from 1 species